AGUGAACGCUGGCGGUAGGCCUAACACAUGCAAGUCGAACGGCAGCACAGUAAGAGCUUGCUCUUACGGGUGGCGAGUGGCGGACGGGUGAGGAAUACAUCGGAAUCUACUUUUUCGUGGGGGAUAACGUAGGGAAACUUACGCUAAUACCGCAUACGACCUACGGGUGAAAGCAGGGGAUCUUCGGACCUUGCGCGAUUGAAUGAGCCGAUGUCGGAUUAGCUAGUUGGCGGGGUAAAGGCCCACCAAGGCGACGAUCCGUAGCUGGUCUGAGAGGAUGAUCAGCCACACGUGAACUGAGACACGGUCCAGACUCCUACGGGAGGCAGCAGUGGGGAAUAUUGGACAAUGGGCGCAAGCCUGAUCCAGCCAUACCGCGUGGGUGAAGAAGGCCUUCGGGUUGUAAAGCCCUUUUGUUGGGAAAGAAAAGCAGCAGGUUAAUACCCCGCUGUUCUGACGGUACCCAAAGAAUAAGCACCGGCUAACUUCGUG
rnacentral:rRNA from 1 species